rnacentral:rRNA from 1 species
CUGGGACUGAGACACGGCCCAGACUCCUACGGGAGGCAGCAGUGGGGAAUUUUGGACAAUGGGCGAAAGCCUGAUCCAGCAAUGCCGCGUGAGUGAAGAAGGCCUUCGGGUUGUAAAGCUCUUUCAGUCGAGAAGAAAAGAUUAUGUCUAAUAAACAUAGUUCAUGACGGUAUCGAUAGAAGAAGCACCGGCUAACUACGUGCCAGCAGCCGCGGUAAUACGUAGGGUGCUAGCGUUAAUCGGAAUUACUGGGCGUAAAGGGUGCGCAGGCGGAUCUGUAAGUCAGAUGUGAAAUCCCCGGGCUUAACCUGGGAAUUGCGUU